AUUGAACGCUGGCGGCAUGCCUUACACAUGCAAGUCGAACGGUAACAGGUCUUCGGAUGCUGACGAGUGGCGAACGGGUGAGUAAUACACCGGAACGUGCCUAGUAGUGGGGAUAACUACUCGAAAGAGUGGCUAAUACCGCAUGAGAUCUACGGAUGAAAGCAGGGGAUCGCAAGACCUUGUGCUACUAGAGCGGCCGAUGGCAGAUUAGGUAGUUGGUGGGAUAAAAGCUUACCAAGCCGACGAUCUGUAGCUGGUCUGAGAGGACGAUCAGCCACACUGGGACUGAGACACGGCCAAGACUCCUACGGGAGGCAGCAGUGGGGAAUUUUGGACAAUGGGCGAAAGCCUGAUCCAGCAAUGCCGCGUGCAGGAUGAAGGCCUUCGGGUUGUAAACUGCUUUUGUACGGAACGAAAAGCCCCGGGUUAAUACCCUGGGGUCAUGACGGUACCGUAAGAAUAAGCACCGGCUAACUACGUGCCAGCAGCCGCCGUAA
rnacentral:rRNA from 1 species